rnacentral:tRNA from 1 species
AAUGAAUUGCCUGAAAAAGGAUUACCUUGAUAGGGUAAAUCAUGUAACACAAUAUUACAUUCAUUA